GACGAACGCUGGCGGCGUGCUUAACACAUGCAAGUCGAACGGAAAGGCCCUGCUUUUGUGGGGUGCUCGAGUGGCGAACGGGUGAGUAACACGUGUGUAACCUGCCCUUGUCUUUGGGAUAACAUCAGGAAACUGGGGCUAAUACCGGAUAGGAUCUCCUGCUGCAUGGGGGGGGUUGGAAAGUUUCGGCGGUUGGGGAUUGACUAGCGGCUUAUCAGCUUGUUGGUGGGGUAGUGGCUGACCAAGGUUUUGACGGGUAGCCGGCCUUGGAGGGUGACCGGCCACCUUGGGACUGCGAUACGGCCCAGACUCCUACGUGACGCAGCAGGGGGGAAUAUUGCACAAUGGGCGGAAGCCUGAUGCAGCAACGCCGCGUGCGUGAUGACGGCCUUCGGGUUGUAAACCGCUUUCGCCUGUGACGAAGCGUGAGUGACGGUAAUGGGUAAAGAAGCACCGGCUAACUACGUG
rnacentral:rRNA from 1 species